rnacentral:rRNA from 1 species
GAUGUGAGAGCAUGAUACGGCCACAACGGCACUGAUAGACUGGGCCCUACUCCUACGGGAGGCAGUCAGUGGGUUAUUUCUGGACAAUGGACGAAAGUCUGAUCCAGCGACGCCGCGUGCAAGGAAGAAGUCCUUCGGGAUGUAAACUUCUAAUGAUUAUCGAAUAAAGGCCAUGGGGGACCAUGGAGCUGAAGGUAGAUAAAGAAAAGCCCCGGCUAAAUACGUGCCAGCAGCCGCGGUAAGACGUAGGGGGCGAGCGUUGCCCGGAAUUACUGGGCGUAAAGGGGACGUAGGCGGUUAAUCAAGUCAGGUGUGAAAUGUCACGGCUUAACUGUGGAAUAGCGCUUGAAACUGAAUUACUUGAGGACACUAGAGGAAGACGGAAUUACCUGAGUAGGGGUGAAAUCCGUAGAUACAGGUAAGAAGGCCAGUGGUGAAGACGGUUUUCUGGGGUGAUCCUGACGCUGAGGUCCGAAAGCUAGGGUAGCAAACCGGAUUAGAUACCCGGGUAGUCCUAGCCGUAAACGAUGCUCACUAGGUGUGGGUAAGAAAUAUCCGUGCUGAAGCGAACGCGAUAAGUGAGCCGCCUGGGGACGUACGUCCGCAAGGAUGAACUCUCCACGUAAUUGACCGGGGACCUGCACUAGCAGGUGGAGCAUGUGGUUUCAUUCGACGCUAACUGCAGAACCUUACCAGGGCUUGUACAUGGAGAUAGGAGAUAUCACGAGAUAUAUUGGAUACUUACGCAAGUAAUAAAGUCUCACACAGGUGGUCGCAUCGGCCGUCGUCAGCUCGUGCCGUGAGGUGUUGGGUUAAUGUCCCGCAACGAGCGUCAACCCCUGCAUAUUAGUUACCAUUAUUAAGUUAGGGACUCUAAUAGGACAGCCGUCGACGAGAUCGGAGGAAGGAGGGUGAUGACGUCAGGUAAUCGUGCCCCUUAUGCUCUGGGCGACACACGUGCUACAAUGGAUAGGACAAAGGGAAGCGAAACUGAGAAGCGGAGCGAAUCUCAUAAACCUAUCCUAAAUUCAGAUUGUAGGCUGCAACCCGCCUACAUGAAGCUGGAAUCGCUAGUAAUCGCAGGUCAGCCAAACUGCGGUGAAUACGUUCCCGGGUCUUGUACACACCGCCCGUCACGCCACCCGAGUUGGAGACACCCGAAGUUGGUAUCUGGAACCGCAAGGACCGGAGCUAACGAGGGUGGAG